rnacentral:rRNA from 1 species
UCCCAGACUCCUACGGGAGGCAGCAGUGGGGGAUAUUGCACAAUGGGGGGAACCCUGAUGCAGCGACGCCGCGUGGGUGAAGAAGCGCCUCGGCGCGUAAAGCCCUAUCGGCAGGGAAGAAGGAGGACGGUACCUGACUAAGAAGCCCCGGCUAACUACGUGCCAGCGGCCGCGGUAAUACGUAGGGGGCAAGCGUUAUCCGGAUUUACUGGGUGUAAAGGGGGCGCAGACGGCAGCGCAAGCCAGGAGUGAAAGCCCGGGGCCCAACCCCGGGACUGCUCUUGGAACUGCGCGGCUGGAGUGCAGGAGGGGCAGGCGGAAUUCCUGGUGUAGCGGUGAAAUGCGUAGAUAUCAGGAGGAGCACCGAUGGCGAAGGCGGCCUGCUGGACUGCGACUGACGUUGAGGCCCGAAAGCGUGGGGAGCAAACAGGAUUAGAUACCCUUGUA